CCAUGGCCGCACAGGGCUCCAAUGACAAGGACCUGGGCGUGGGCGUUGGCGUUGGUGUCGUUCGUCUGUACGAGCCGGAGCGUGGGGCAGGGUGCAACUUUUCGCUUUGUUCGCUGUGGGCGGGGUGUUGGGAUGAGUGGAUGAAUGGAGCGACACUGGCCGGGCUAUGAGUGGGGGGAAACUGUUGCUGUCACAUAUUGCAGCUGUUGUGAAAGGUUGUUUACGCUGUGGAGCGGUGCCAUCAACAAUGUCGAAAAACAACUCUGACUGGAUGCAUAAUUUUCUAUGGAUAUGAACGAGUUAUUCAAGCUAAUGAUUUCUUUUCUGAUGCUUCUGUUGCUGUUGUUGUUUCUCAAAAAAAUUACACAUACGAGUAGUUUGUUUAUGACGUGAUUGAGUUUAUUUUGUAUUGUAUUUAAAUGAAUUUCUCUUUUAAACGCAACGC